AGUGAACGCUGGCGGUAGGCCUAACACAUGCAAGUCGAACGGCAGCACAGUAAGAGCUUGCUCUUACGGGUGGCGAGUGGCGGACGGGUGAGGAAUACAUCGGAAUCUACUUUUUCGUGGGGGAUAACGUAGGGAAACUUACGCUAAUACCGCAUACGACCUACGGGUGAAAGCAGGGGAUCUUCGGACCUUGCGCGAUUGAAUGAGCCGCUGUCGGAUUAGCUAGUUGGCGGGGUAAAGGCCCACCCAGGCGACGAUCCGUUGCUGGUCUGAGAGGCGGAUCAGCCACACUGGAGCUGAGCCACGGACCAGGCGCCUACGGGAGGCAGCAGUGGGGAAUAUUGGACAAUGGGCGCGAGCCUGAUCCAGCCGUACCGCGUGGGUGAAAGAGGCCUUCGGGUUGUAAAGCCCGUUUGUUGGGAGAGAAAAGCAGCAGGUUAAUACCCCGCUGUUCUGACGGUACCCAAAGAAUAAGCACCGGCUAACUUCGUG
rnacentral:rRNA from 1 species